UACAGAGGGUGCAAGCGUUGUUCGGAAUCAUUGGGCGUAAAGAGCGCGCAGGCGGUCGUUCAAGUCGAGUGUGAAAGCCCCCGGCUCAACUGGGGAGGGUCACGCGAUACUGAUCGACUCGAAGGCAGGAGAGGGUAGUGGAAUUCCCGGUGUAGUGGUGAAAUGCGUAGAUAUCGGGAGGAACACCAGUGGCGAAGGCGACUACCUGGCCUGUUUCUUGACGCUGAGGCGCGAAAGCUAGGGGAGCAAACGGG
rnacentral:rRNA from 1 species